rfam:Salmo salar isolate Sally breed double haploid chromosome ssa14, whole genome shotgun sequence.
AAGGUUAAGUCCUGUAAGUCGCUCUGGAUAAGAGCAUCUGUUAAAUGACUAAUA